UACGAAGGGGGCUAGCGUUGCUCGGAAUUACUGGGCGUAAAGGGCGCGUAGGCGGAUGUUUAAGUCGGGGGUGAAAGCCCGGGGCUCAACCUCGGAAUUGCCUUCGAUACUGGACAUCUUGAGUACGGGAGAGGUGAGUGGAACUCCGAGUGUAGAGGUGAAAUUCGUAGAUAUUGGGAAGAACACCGGUGGCGAAGGCGGCUCACUGGCUCAUUACUGACGCUCAGGCGCGAUAGCGUGGGGAUCAAACAGG
rnacentral:rRNA from 1 species